rnacentral:rRNA from 1 species
UACGUAGGGUGCAAGCGUUAUCCGGAAUUAUUGGGCGUAAAGAGCUCGUAGGCGGUUUGUCGCGUCUGCUGUGAAAACUGGAGGCUCAACCUCCAGCCUGCAGUGGGUACGGGCAAACUAGAGUGCGGUAGGGGAGAUUGGAAUUCCUGGUGUAGCGGUGGAAUGCGCAGAUAUCAGGAGGAACACCGAUGGCGAAGGCAGAUCUCUGGGCCGUAACUGACGCUGAGGAGCGAAAGCAUGGGGAGCAAACGGG